AGUCUGUUUUCUGAAGACGCGAGCGACAGCAAAUUUAGUUGGCGCCGUGCUGAGACACAAAACCGUUUUAUGCACUUUGACCACGGAUGUACUGGCACUGAAGCAAAAACGGUAGGAAAGGUCGGGCUUGCCCGGCCUUUUUGCUU
rnacentral:sRNA from 1 species